rnacentral:rRNA from 1 species
AAUGAACGCUGGCGGCAUGCCUAACACAUGCAAGUCGAACGAGACCACAGGGACUAGUGGCUCACGGGUGCGUAACGUGUGGGACCCUGCCGUUAGACUCGGAAAUAUACCUUGUAAGGGGUGCUAACACCGGAUAAUGUCCUCGGAUACAAGAUUCAACGUACUUGGGAGGGCACGCGUUGGUUUAACCUGUGGGUAGGGUAAAAGCCUACCAAGGCGACGAUCCAUAGCUGGUCUGAGAGGAUGCUCAGCCACACUUGGACUGAGACACGGCCCAGACUCCUACGGGAAGCAGCAGUGGGGAAUAUUGGACAAUGGGCGAAAUCCUGAUCCAGCAAUGCCUCGUGAGUGAUGAAGGCCUUAGGGUUGUAAAGCUCUUUUACCCGGGAUGAUAAUGACAGUACCGGGAGAAUAAGCUCCGGCUAACUCCGUG